CAGUAGCCGCGGGAAUGCGGAGGGAGCUAGCGUUGUUCGGAAUUACUGGGCGUAAAGCGCACGUAGGCGGUUAUUCAAGUCAGAGGUGAAAGCCCGGGGCUCAACCCCGGAACUGCCUUUGAAACUAGAUGACUGGAAUCUUGGAGAGGUCAGUGGAAUUCCGAGUGUAGAGGUGAAAUUCGUAGAUAUUCGGAAGAACACCAGUGGCGAAGGCGACACACUGGCUCAUUACUGACGCUGAGGCUCGAAAGCGUGGGGAGCAAACGGGAUUAGAUACCCCGGUAGUCCCUGUCUCUUAUAC
rnacentral:rRNA from 1 species